CGGAGGGUGCAAGCGUUAUCCGGAUUUACUGGGUUUAAAGGGUGUGUAGGCGGACUAUUAAGUCAGUGGUGAAAUCCCGAGGCUCAACCUCGGAACUGCCUUUGAUACUAUUAGUCUUGAAUGUUGUUGAGGUGGGCGGAACGGGUCAUGUAGCGGUGAAAUGCAUAGAUAUGACCCGGAACACCGAUUGCGAAGGCAGCCCGCUAAGCAACUAUUGACGCUGAGGCACGAAAGCGUGGGGAUCAAACAGGAUUAGAUACCCUGGUAGUCCACGCCCUAAACGAUGAUUACUCGACGUUGGCGAUACACUGAUCAGCGUCCAAGCGAAAGCAUUAAGUAAUCCACCUGGGAAGUACGUUCGCAAGAAUG
rnacentral:rRNA from 1 species